GACGGAGGGAGCUAGCGUUGUUCGGAAUUACUGGGCGUAAAGCGCGCGUAGGCGGCUUUGUAAGUUAGAGGUGAAAGCCCGGGGCUCAACCCCGGAACUGCCUUUAAGACUGCAUCGCUUGAAUCCGGGAGAGGUGAGUGGAAUUCCGAGUGUAGAGGUGAAAUUCGUAGAUAUUCGGAAGAACACCAGUGGCGAAGGCGGCUCACUGGACCGGUAUUGACGCUGAGGUGCGAAAGCUAGGGGAGCAAACAGG
rnacentral:rRNA from 1 species